AUAUGUGCAUCUGUACUUGCACAUAAAUGCUAACAACUGAUAACAAUGUACUUUGCUAAUGCUAAUAAUUUAGAGACAAAGGUACAUAAGCAUAACUAUAAUUAGUUACUCAAGUAACAUAUCCUAAUCUUCCUUGAUUUCAUUUACAGAGUUAAUCAGAACAGAGGAUACCGAUGGACACAAUUCAUGUUACUAAUCUUAAGCUCUCAUGAAAAAUAAUUAAGGCUUGAAAAGGUUCUCAAGGGGAGAUGGUCUUCGGUACGGCUCUGGUUUCCUUGCUGAUGGUCUUCUGGGCAUUUGAUAAACAACUGAUUUCAUUCUGGGAGGUGGCGGAGACUUCUUCCGAUAGGAUAUAUUCAGGCGUUCACCUUCCUCUGGUCCAUGAUGCACAGACCUCAUCUCCUCGGUACGGGCAAACCACACAAUUCCACACUCUGCCUCUUCUGCCGUCUAUGGGCAUCAACGACAUCCUGCAAGUUGAUAAAGGGCUGCAAAGGCAUGACAGAGAAUAACAAAAAUGACUGGACAGAUUGAGAUGCGUCAGAAUUGUAGUCUCUACCCACCAGCACAUCCUCUUCAAUGUGUCUGCUUACAGGAGAUUCCAAAUCUCGACUUCUUCUUGCCGCGCGACUACGAGCUUUUCUCUUAGAACCCAUGACAUAAAGUUACUUUGUAAACAAGUAAAAUAACUUGUACAUAAAACACCAAGAUGAUGCAAGUAAACAGUAUUGUAUACCAAAUGUUUUUUUUUUCUUUUAAAUAACCUGUAACUUACAGGUACAUGAAAAACUUCUUUUUUUUAGAGGUACAGAAUUCAAUCACUGGAUCUGUAAAUUUUACAGAUCCCGCCGUGGAUGCCAAAAUUGUAACGUGCGGAUACGCUAACUGGACUGUCUUCAACAAGUCAAGAACUCCAUUGAAAGUUUAUAAAUUUAUUUAACAGGAAACAAAACAAUACUGUUCAACAUUUCACAAAAUCUCUGGUGUUUCACAAAC